rnacentral:rRNA from 1 species
UACAGAGGGUGCAAGCGUUGUUCGGAAUUAUUGGGCGUAAAGGGUGCGUAGGCGGUUUGGUGAGUCUUGUGUGAAAUCUACAGGCUCAACUUGUAGUCUGCACGAGAAACUGCCGGGCUUGAGUGUGGGAGAGGUGAGUGGAAUUCCUGGUGUAGCGGUGAAAUGCGUAGAUAUCAGGAGGAACACCUGUGGCGAAAGCGGCUCACUGGACCAUAACUGACGCUGAUGCACGAAAGCUAGGGGAGCAAACAGG